ACUCAUUAAGGCUAUGGCAUAUAUUUUUAAAGAUUUAUUUUGUUAUUCUUAAUUAAAAGUAUAUGUGGUAUACACCAUGGCAUAUUUUAAAGAAUAUAAGCCACCAUCCACUAAUUAAAAAAAAAAAAGAAAAGAAAAGAAAAGAAACAGAAACUUGGUGGGUGGUGGCUCAGGCCUUUUAUCCCAGUAGUCAAGGCAGAGGUGGAUUACUGAGUUCAAGGCCAUCUUGAUCUACAGAGUGUGUUCCAGGACAGCCAGGACUACACACAGAAACCCUGUCUUGAAGAAGAAAAAAACCCAAACAACAAAAAGACAGGUUUCUCUACAUAGCCUUGGCUGACUUGGACCUCAGUCUGUAUAAACCAGCCUGGUUUUAUUAGGAAGCUCUUCUGUAAGCAAUAAGUGAUAUUUAGUUAUUUAUCUUUGGGUAGAUGUUUCUCACAGAUUAGAAUGCACAGAACUAAGGUCCGUUCUAGCCUCUUACCUCUACAUGAAAAACCAUAGAGAGCUCUCCCCUCCUCUGAGCUUCUCCCAGCCUUCCAUGUCUCCCUCCACUCCCUGCCCCUGUCAUAGAUAGGGUCUCAUGUAUCUCAGGCCGACCUUGAACUCACUAUGUAGCCAAGAAUGACUGUCUGCUCCUGAUGCUGAGUGCCCAUUUAUGUGGUACUGGCUAUUGAACCCAGGGCUUCAUGGAAGUGCUUCCCCAGUCAAGCUAAACCACUGGUCUCAUCAGCCCUCGGUUUUUAAUUGUAAACCUUCCCUGACAGAACAUACAUAGUAGCAUACAUAAACCUUAUAGCUACAUUGACAUGUAUGAUCUGAAAUAAUAAUAAUGUCUUAUGUUGUAGUCCUUGCAGUUUCAGGGUUUUUUUGUUUUUGUUUUUGUUUUCUCCUGCCCCUGUUCCAGGUUUUUUCAGACUUGUAAGUUUUUUGUUUGGCUGGUUAGUUUUGGUUUUUGAAGGCAGAUUUUUUUCUGUGCUGUAACUCACUCUGUAGAUCAGACUGGACUCAGUGAUCUGCCUCUCUGCCUCCCAGGUGCUGAGAUUAAAGGCAUGCACCACCAUGCCUGGCCCUCAAAUUUGUAAGAUUUUAUAUUAUCAAACUAAUAAUCUUUGCUGUCUAAUUUUCCUAGUUUUUAGCCAUUUCUUUUUGUUUAUAUACCUUUACAAGUCUUUAGCAGAGUUUUAUGUAAAUCACGAUUUCUAAGUGUCCUUAACAGCCCAGGCCAGCCUGGGCUAUACAGUGAGACCCUGUGUAAAACAAACAGUGGAGCCAAUAGACUUGAUUGGACACCUCAUAAACAUAUGAAUAGACUCCAGGAAGACUAGUAAUCAUUGGAAGAAGGCAAAUUAAAACUGUGGUAAAAUUUCUACUUAUAUCAUU
rnacentral:lncRNA from 1 species